GCCUGCCAGGCAGGUGCUUAUGCUGAUGAGCUAUCUCCCCAGCCCAACAUUUUUUCAUACACUAUUCGAUGUUUAUAACAAAAAACAAAAGGUGCUGGUUGCGCUGGCAGCUCUCCAAUUCAUUCACAGUCACUGGCCAUCUAUAAGCUACUACUACCUCAUCCAAAGAAAUCCAAUCAUUUCUGGAUCAUGAAACCAGUCCUUCUGAUGUAACAUCACUCCAAAACUUGUCAUCUGUGUCUGUGUCCUAUGGUCAGAAGAAAUAAAAGUUUAUCUACCG
rnacentral:lncRNA from 1 species